UUAAAAUCUGUGAUCGAAGGUAAGUACUUUAGAGGAUGAUUUUCAGAGAGCAAAUGGUUGGUGUGAAUUUGUAAUUUAAUCUAGAGGAAUGGAUUCGUGAGAUGCUAGGUGAAUUAAAAGUAGCUGAGGCCGUUUCCUAACGUUACAUGGGGAGGAUAUCGAUUUUGAGUUAGCUUUUUUAAUGAUAAAUCCGUAUCUGGUGAGAUUGUAUGAAUUAGUGGCUGAUGUCUAAUUGUAGAUGUCAGCUUUUUUUGUAAAAAUAUACAAUGAAGAUGGGUGGUACCACGAUUUAAAAGUCGUCCCUAGU
rnacentral:ncRNA from 1 species